UGAACCGCACUGCGCUGUUGGGGUUCUCACCGUCGCCAGAAAAGGAUUCAGGCCGCCGCAGGUGUCGCGGUCGGAGGAGAAAGCUGUUCCCCUGUGUUUUGACCGCCUGGAGUGGUUUUGUCACUUCCGGGAUCACCGCCGGAGCUCCGGGCUGAGCCUCUGCCGCUUGAGACCCUGCUGUCGUCGCCGGAAAAGGCUGUCGGUAAGGCUUUUAAGUUGAGUUUCCCUUCUGUUGAGUUUCCUGGAACUUCAUCGUCGCUGCGUGUGGUUCAGAUCGCCGCUGCUGCUUGGGGCUGACUGCCAGGUUGCCGCCGAACCGGUUCGGAGACCGCCGCUGUUUCGGUUCAACCGUUCCUUCUUCGGUUCGUGUUGCUAUGGUUAUUGUGAACGUGGCUGGGAGUUGAGGUUUUGGUUGCCGUCAGUUUGGGUCAAGGCGGAAAGGACUUGGUGACGCGUUUGAGUUAUGGAAUUGCGUUUUGAGGAUAUGGGCGCAGAAGUUACGAAGAGCUUAUCUAAUUGUUGUUGUGAUGCUC